AGAGGGGGCGAGCGUUAUUCGGAAUUAUUGGGCGUAAAGGGCGCGUAGGCGGCCUUUCAAGUGACGGGUGAAAUCCCUCGGCUUAACCGAGGAACUGCCUGUCAGACUGGAAGGCUUGAGACCGGGAGAGGUGAGUGGAAUUCCCAGUGUAGCGGUGAAAUGCGUAGAUAUUGGGAGGAACACCAGUGGCGAAGGCGGCUCACUGGACCGGUACUGACGCUGAGGCGCGAAAGCGUGGGGAGCAAACAGGAUUAGAUACCCUGGUAGUCCACGCCGUAAACGAUGAGUGCUUGGUGUAGCGGGUAUCGACCCCUGCUGUGCCGAAGUCAACACAUUAAGCACUCCGCCUGGGGAGUACGGUCGCAAGACUG
rnacentral:rRNA from 1 species